UUCCCUAAUAUAAAAUAGAUCUCAAGAUUAAGGAAAGAGAUAGACUUAAAAAAAAAAGGUAUAGAAAACUUAGAAAAAAAAAAUAAUUAGAAGAUGAUAAUGAGGAACUUGAUUCUUCUACUUGACUCUCAAGUACAAAAAUAUGAAGUCAUUUUUCAUUUUCGUCUCGGCAAACAAAAAACAUAGGUCUGUUCUCAUUGAAACAAUGAUUGGCGA
rnacentral:lncRNA from 1 species